AUGGAUCUUCAGACAACGAUAGGAGGGCUCAGCCUCGUCUGCAAGGCCUCAGGUUUCACCAUCAGUGAUUAUACCAUGUUCUGGGUGCGACAGGCACCAGGAAAGGGGCUGGAAUGGGUCGCUGGUAUUAGUUAUACUGGUGGUAGCAAAUACUACGCGCCGGCGGUGAAGGGCCAUGCCACCAUCACGAGGGACAACGGGCAGAGCACAGUGAGGCUGCAGCUGAACAGCCUGAAGGACGAGGACUCCGCCAUGUAUUACUGCGCCAGAGGUUAUAGUAGUGGUUGUAAUUAUGAAGCUUAUGCGAUCGACGUGGUGGUGGUGCUUAUUAUGGUUAUGAUGCUGGUGUGA